UUUAGGGUUUUGAAGAAGUUUACAUAGCUGAUUGAAGAUUAUUUUGUGAAUUCUUAAUUCAAGAUCCUGAUUGGAAAGAAGCAGUUCAAUCCAUGCCUUCCUCAGUCUAUCUCUUCCCCUCUCCCUCCAUCUUUUCUGCCCAUUGACUUGCUUGCCUUUUUAUUCAUUCAUUCAUUUAUUUCAUUUCUCAACUAUUUUGAGUACUUACUGUUUUCUAGGCACUGUUCCAAGCCCUGUGUAUAUGUUAGUGAACAAACUAUAUAAAACCACUGCUCCAAAGCACUUAACGUUUCAGUGUCAUUGUGGAAAGACAGAAUUAAUUGAACGCUUCUGUUCUGUCCCUCCUCUCCUCUCUUUUUCUUAAUCUACUAGUAAAAGAUGUGAGGAGAUCUGUACUCAGACAUUGAGCUGUCUCUGAUUCCAGCUGUGCUAGUUCCCAUUUCAGACCUACAUUAUGAAUUAGGUACUGGCCUAGGUGUUGAGACUAUCAAGUUUUAAUGAUUUUGUGAAAUCUGUAAAUACACCUCUCGAUAAGGGCACCGAUGGUGGUCUCUUGUAUAUAGAAGAAAUAUUUGGCAAAUAUUGAGUGGGAAGAUGGGUGAAUGGAUGCAUGGAUGGAUUACUGGAAAAGAGUAUGCAUAAAGAUUUAUCUUCCCUUCCAAAGAAAGGUUUGUACUUUUUAAAUCCAACUUUACAAGGGCUUUUCCAAGGGGGGAAAAAUGGAUGGUUGCAGUCACUGUUCGUAAGAGUGAAAACUAUCUAAGAAUACCUGAAUAUAUAAAGGACAGUGCAGUUCUGACACCUUUGCAAGCAUAGGAAAAUUAUUUUCUCCUCAGGGCCAGAAAAAUGUAAUGGAAUAGUCUGAGGCUGACUGCCCUUGUGCAACUUAUAUAACCUCUCAACUCCUCAGCUUUCUUAUCUGUCAAAGGGGGAUAAUAAUUUAAACCUUUAAAUAAUGUGGAGCUCAAAUGAGAAAACAUAAGUAAAAGUACCGAGUUCUACUGGACAUGCCUAGAUUCCCAGCUACUCAGGAGGCUGAAGCAGGAGGAGAGGUUGAACCCAGGAGUUUGAAUCCAGCCUGGACAACACAGUAAGACCCCAUCUCUUUAAAAAAAAAAAAAAAAAAAAGUACCUAGUUCUUGGUGAAAAGUGUUGGCCCGCAUUAAAAUUUCAAUUUCCGUUCCUCUCUCUAACAUGAUUUGGUGAUUGAGCUAAAAUUUCAGUUUCCCGUUCCUCUCUCUAACAUGAUUUGGUGAUUGAGCUUAUGGAGUUAAUACACGUACUAAAUUGUAUCGGAUAUUACAUUUGCUCUACUUGCGGGAACUUUUUAUCAAGUCUUGACUUUCAAGUGUAAAGAUAAGAAUUAAGUGUUCUAUCAUUCCCAUUUAGGAAAAAGUUGAAAAUUCCAUUGGUUUAAUUAGAUUUUGUGGAUGUCAGAAAUUAGAGGAAUCAUUUGAUGUGAUCAGCUUGCUCUCUGCAUUCAUAUAAACUCUGUAUCCUCCUCUGGGCUUGCUUUUUCUCACCAAGGAAAGGCACAGCAGUGCUAACAGUGGCGAACUUGGCUGUCUUCCUCCCUUUUUGGAGAGUAGCCUGGAAAUAAAGGUUAUGAACCACUACUAUUAAAGAUUAUUAUUGCAGUGGGAGAAACUGCUGAGAGUCUUAAGGUUGUUUUUUUUUAAGUUGCUCUUUUGGAUACCUUCUUAGGAUGAGAUAUUGAUGAAUGCUGAAGAUAAUUUUAGGUACCAUUAUCUAUGAGAACAGAAUGUUUGAAAGAUUUUAAAAAUUCUGUUCUCAUAGAUAAUGGUACUUAAAAAACCUAUAUUUCCAUGAUGUUCCCAUACCCAGUCAGAGAGCUAAUUUCUGAAAUGUAUCUUCUUAUAUUGAGUUUCUUUCUCCCCCCUUCCCUGAUACUAUAUUAUAUACAAAGAAUAUUACAAAAAGCAGAUGUUGGGUUUUUGGUUUUGUUUUGCUUGAAAACUUGCUAGUUGAAUUUCAUUUGUGCCAUGAAGAGACAUUAGAGAUUGAUUUCUUAAAAUCUGACUGAAUUGUUCUAAUCAAAUUCAUUAUAUUCACCUUCAUAGCUUACAGGGCUGCUUGUUAAAAGAAAAGCUUAGUUACAGGGUGAAAGACAAAUAAAGCUAUAGCUUUAACUUACCAAACAACGCUCACUUCUAAAAGGACAUGAUUGUUGUUAGCUGAAGGGAGUGAUCAGAUACAGAGGUUACCUAAUGUUGCUCUGCCUGCUUCACUAUCUUCAUGUCAGCUCCUCUUAAGUAUACAGCUGUGCUGCUGAAGACACCCGAUUUCAUGCAAAUUCAUUCAGAAUGUCCUAUCAGCCCCUUUGCCUAUCAGGUAUGAAAAAGGAAACUACCAUGCUCAGAUGGCUUCCUCUGACUCACUCCUUGUGCGUGUUGCCUUUGUGUGUGCUGGUGUCUUUCUUCAUCUCUGUUUGCCUUUCUUUCUGUAGGUAUCUCUCUGUAUUGUGUACUCUGGGUGUGUGCAAGUCACCCUGAGUGCAUGUCUCUUUCCGUGUGGGUGCUGAUCUUUCUGUCUCUUUGUGUCUGUGUCCUGCAUAUGGAUCCCCCUCUUUCUCUGUCUGUGUGCCUCCCUGAGUGUCCAUAUGUGAGAAAGUCUUUGUGUAUUUGAAACAUUGUAGAGCCUCCUUUCUUAAGCCUUGGUGCUCAUAGUAUGUACCUGUGUAAAGUGGAAAUGUAGGAGACAUAUGCAAGCCUAUAUACAGUCUUAGAUUGUAAAUAUUUGACCCCCACCUUUUUGAGUCUUCAUCCUUUAUGUUAAACAUUGGGGUGAAGAAUAAGGAGUGGGGGUGUUCAGAGGUUGUAGGGGGAAAAAAUCUUGUGUGUGCAAGUGCCGAUCCCGUUGACCCCUUUGAAAAUUGAAAUAAUGAUAAUGCGCGUCUCCUGACUGCAUCAAAGUAUCAGCACAUCAAAAGCCAGGAGGCAUGAAAUGCAAAUGAUAAAGUGAAAGCAGAUGGAUUGUGCAUGAUCGCCUGAUGCCCAAUGAAUUUUAAAAGGUGCUGGUUUGCAGGAAGGGGGGUUUGGGGGGUUUUAGGGGGGACUGAAAUAAACACGUUAUCCCUGCAAUUUUUUUUUUUUUGUUCUUGAUGCUCACUCCUGACAAUAUUUUUUCACACUUGAGUGAACACCCUCUCUCUCUCUCUCUCUACCUCUGUCCCCCUCCCCCUCCCACUCUCUCUCUCUCUUUCUGUUUACUCUCCAACUCCCCCCCUCUGCCCCCCCCCCCACCCCCACCUCUUACAUGUCUCAGGUCAUGUCGCUGCAGCUCCGGUGGAAAUAAUAAGAUAUAAACCACGAGGUUGUUAUUUGCAUAGAAAUAGCAUGGAGCCCCAGGCAGCAAGGGAGAAGGACACAGGGAUCAUUUGUCUAAAAUUGUAAUGAAAACUUUUGCUGAGGCAGAGAUUUUUAAAAACUUACUUUCUCCCUGCUUUUCCCCUUUCUUCCCCUACUCCCCAAACCCCAUCAUUGAUUUUACUUAACAUGCUUCAGUUUGAAGAGAAAAGAUUGACACUCCACAUAUCAUACUCCCAUAAUGCAGCAACCUGUAAAUUGUUUGUUCCUUUAAUAGAUAUGAAGCUGAAGAGACAUGCAUUUUCAACCUAAUACACUGCAUGUGUGCGCCAGGCUUUUAUAGCUAUACUCCAUCUCGGCAUACACAUGAUGUUGCCUGUCGCUAGCCUGUUUUUAAUUAGUUUACACCUUCCUAUCUUUUGCUUCCAAAGACUCUUACUUUUUAAAGGAUUUCUUUUUAUAGCCAACAGUAGUAACCUUCAUAUAAAAUAAAUAUUUUCUGGUGUUUUCCUGUUUUUUUACUUUUGGUGGUUUUUCUGUAUACUUACAUGUUUUAUUCAUGGACGCCAUCCUUUGCCACUGUGUCUUUUAUUCCAAAACCAGGAAGUGCUUCCCACCUUUGUAUUUUUAUCCUUUUCCCCCUGUGAACUCACUAUUUGUAUAUCUUCUUUCCAUGUCUAUCUUGCUUUGUUGCCUGCAGUUAUUUGUAAAAUAUUCAAAAUAUUACCCAAAUUGAGAAGAGAUGUAGUAUCUGGAUUUUAUUGACAUUUGACAUUAGAACUAAAGGCAGUAGGCUGGUGAUCAGAAGCAGCCCAAGGGGGUUUACUUGAAAUUCAAUCAAGAAUAUCUGUCUGGUUCCUUGCUAUCUUCUGGAAUGGGUUAAUGGUAUCAGGGCUAUAUUUCGUAGACAGGAAGACAAAACCAAUAGAAAGGAAAGUGACUUAGUUUCAUUGACAGAGACUAGAUCAGGGUCAGAACAUGAACUUUCAUGUCCCUAAGUUUCAUUGAAGAAAGCUCAGGCCUCUUUGCUUAGUGGUCUGUAAAGCCUAAAAGAAGGUGGUCUGGUUGUUUUCCUGUUUGUCCAAAUGUCGUGAGAAUGAUGACAUUAAGAAGAGAAGUUUCUAGGGGCUUGCUAUUUCAUGUCGCUCAAGGUAGCAGAUCCUAACUCUCGGAAUUGUAGGCUGUGGGUGACAGAUUCCUUAAAAUGCCUCACUGCGUGGCAGACCUGAUGUGCGUGGCAGAUUACCCUGCUUGAAGGGAGUCAUGCUGUCCUGGCAAAGGCAGUAACCUGUGUACUUGGGGAACUGGUAAAGAUAUACCCUUAAGGAGCUGAGAUGAUUGCAGAGUCAUAAACUCUUAAGUCUGUGUGCCACUGGACAUUUGCAGAGAUAAUCAUACUCACUUCCCCCCCCCCCACCACUCUUCCUUUCAGUUUCCUUUUUAUUUUUUUUUCCUCCCUUUCCUGUUAAAAGUAUUAGUAUGUUUAACAUAGUGUUAGGUGACAGAUAAGCUGGAAGAACUAGUAUUGUAAAGGAACACUGAUGUAUACUGGAGCCUACUAGCUCUCAAUCCAUUGCCCCAGACUUGGGGAUAGAGAGCACAUUCUGUAUCCAGAGAAAUAAGAAUAUGCAGUUUAUGGUUGUCCUCUGGACAUUAACUGCCUGUGAAGGUAAGGCAUAUGCCAAAGGCAGUGAUAGAUUCAUCAGGAGAUGAUAUGUGACUUUCUUGUAUUUUAAAGCUCUGCUUCUGUUUUAGAAAAAAAUAUCCUAUACUCUCAUCUCCCUUAGCGAGAUCAGGGCCCUAUUUUCACUGAAUCUGCAAGAAAAAAGAAAUUAUGUGAUGGGUAUGACUAGGGCCGUUAGUUUGGUAGGGGGCUAAUUCUGCUAAUCUUGCUUUUGAGACUUGGUGCAAGUAAGUUACAUUUCUCUCUGGUUCUCAUAUACGUAUUUUUCUGCAGCUAUGCAGUAUGAAAUGUGAAGUUGUCAUAGCUGACUCUGUUGGGCACAGUACCAGAGUUCCUCUCAUGAGUGGGAAUUGUCUGUUACACCAGGAACCUGCACUGUACAGUCUCCAUGCUCACCCAUGACUCUGUGACAUACAACGUGAAAGUCAUGGACGCUCAAGAAGGGAAGGAGAGAUUACUUAGCUCUCACUGUGGGGCGGGCAACGUUGUAACUUUCACAUAACUUAAAGAGGUUAUGAUAGAGACAGCGCCGGGACAAGUGAGAGCCAGAAGGGCACUGGGCGACUCUGUGCCUUGCUGAGGAAAAAUAACUAAACAUGGGCAAAGGAGAUCCUCAGAAGCCUAGAGGCAAGAUGUUGUCAUACGCAUUUUUUAUGCAAACUUGUUGGGAGGAGCAUAAGAAGAAGCAUCCAGAUGCUUCAGUCAACUUCUCAGUUUUCUAAGAAGUGCUCAGAGAGGUGGAAGACCAUGUCUGCUAAACAGAAGGGAAAAUUUGAAGAUAUGGCAAAGGCAGACAAGAUCCAUUACGAAAGAGAAAUGAAAACCUAUAUCCCUCCUGAAGGGGAGACAAAAAAGAAGUUCAAGGAUUCCAAUGCACCCAAGAGGUCUCCUUUGGCCUUCUUCCUGUUGUAUUCUGAGUAUCACCCAAAAAUCAAAGGAGAACAUCCUGGCCUGUCCAUUGGUGAUAUUGCGAAGAAACUGGGAGAGAUGUGGAAUAACACUGCUGCAGAUGACAAGCAGCCUUAUGAAAAGAAGCCUGCGAAGCUGAAGGAAAAAUACGAAAAGGAUACUGCUACAUAUUGAGCUAAAGGAAAGCCUGAUGCAGCAAAAAAGGGAGUUGUCACGGCUGAAAAAGCAAGAAAAAGAAGGAAGAUGAAGAGGAUGAGGAGGAGGAAGAUGAAGAAGAUGAUGAUGAUGAAUAAGUUGCUUCUAGCACAGAUUUUUUCAUGUCUAUAAAGCAUUUAACCCCCCUGUAUACAACUCACUCCUUUUAAAGAAAAAAAUUGAAAUGUAAGGCUGUGUAAGAAUUUUUUAAAACUGUAUGGUGUCUUCUUUUGUAUAGUUAACACACUACCAAAUGUGUCUUUAGAUAGCCCUGUCCUGGUGGUAUUUUCAUAGCCACUAACCUUGCCUGGUAUAGUAUAGGGGUUGUAAAUUGGCAUAAAAAUUUAAAGCAGGUUCUCAUUGGUGUACAGCACAAGUAAGUUAUAUAUGGGGAGAGUAGUUUUUUUCAUUUUCAAUUGUCUCUGAUGCAGCUUAUAUGAAACAAUUGUUCUGUUAACUGAAUACCACUCUGUAAUUGCAA